GGCUUAGAGUUUGAUCCUGGCUCAGAUUGAACGCUGGCGGCAUGCCUUACACAUGCAAGUCGAACGGCAGCACGGGGGCAACCCUGGUGGCGAGUGGCGAACGGGUGAGUAAUACAUCGGAACGUGUCCUGGAGUGGGGGAUAGCCCGGCGAAAGCCGGAUUAAUACCGCAUACGCUCGAGAGAGGAAAGCGGGGGAUCUUCGGACCUCGCGCUCGAGGGGCGGCCGAUGGCGGAUUAGCUAGUUGGUAGGGUAAAGGCCUACCAAGGCGACGAUCCGUAGCUGGUCUGAGAGGACGGCCAGCCACACUGGGACUGAGACACGGCCCAGACUCCUACGGGAGGCAGCAGUGGGGAAUUUUGGACAAUGGGGGCAACCCUGAUCCAGCAAUGCCGCGUGUGUGAAGAAGGCCUUCGGGUUGUAAANAAACUUUUGUCCGGAAAGAAAUCCUCUGGGUUAAUGCCUCGGGGGGAUGUUU
rnacentral:rRNA from 1 species